rnacentral:rRNA from 1 species
GCAGUCGAGCGGACAGAUGGGAGCUUGCUCCCUGAUGUUAGCGGCGGACGGGUGAGUAACACGUGGGUAACCUGCCUGUAAGACUGGGAUAACUCCGGGAAACCGGGGCUAAUACCGGAUGGUUGUUUGAACCGCAUGGUUCAGACAUAAAAGGUGGCUUCGGCUACCACUUACAGAUGGACCCGCGGCGCAUUAGCUAGUUGGUGAGGUAACGGCUCACCAAGGCAACGAUGCGUAGCCGACCUGAGAGGGUGAUCGGCCACACUGGGACUGAGACACGGCCCAGACUCCUACGGGAGGCAGCAGUAGGGAAUCUUCCGCAAUGGACGAAAGUCUGACGGAGCAACGCCGCGUGAGUGAUGAAGGUUUUCGGAUCGUAAAGCUCUGUUGUUAGGGAAGAACAAGUGCCGUUCAAAUAGGGCGGCACCUUGACGGUACCUAACCAGAAAGCCACGGCUAACUACGUGCCAGCAGCCGCGGUAAUACGUAGGUGGCAAGCGUUGUCCGGAAUUAUUGGGCGUAAAGGGCUCGCAGGCGGUUUCUUAAGUCUGAUGUG